rnacentral:rRNA from 1 species
GACGAACGCUGGCGGCGUGCUUAACACAUGCAAGUCGAACGAUGAAGCCGGAGCUUGCUCUGGUGAAUUAGUGGUGAACGGGUGAGUAACACGUGAGUAACCUGCCCUUGACUCUGGGAUAACAGCUAGAAAUGGUAGCUAAUACCGGAUACGACCCUCGGAGGCAUCUCCAGGGGGUGGAAAGAAUUUGGGUCAAGGAUGGACUCGCGGCCUAUCAGCUAGUUGGUGAGGUAAUGGCUCACCAAGGCGACGACGGGUAGCCGGCCUGGGAGGGUGACGAGCCGCACUGGGACUGAGAGAGGGCCCAGACUCCUACGGGAGGCAGCAGUGGGGAAUAUUGCACAAUGGGCGCAAGGCUGAUGCAGCAACUCCGCGUGAGGGAUGACGGCCUUCGGGUUGUAAAACUCUUUUAGUAGGGAAGAAGCGAAAGUGACGGUACCUGCAGAAAAAGCACCGGCUAACUACGUGCCAGCAGCCGCGGUAA